AGUACUUACGUUCACUUAGCGAGUUUUGAAAGUAUGGCCCCUGGACAACCACUCGUCUGAGUUCAGCGUCACGCGUAACUACCUUGACUGGCUCACCGUCCUGCCGUGGGGCGUUACCAGUGAACAACAUCUCCAUCUAGAUAAAGCUAAGAAAAUCCUCGAUGAAGAUCAUUACGGUCUUGAAGAUGUCAAGAAAAGAAUUCUGGAGUUGAUCGCCGUGGCUCAGCUGCGGGGCGCAGGGCAAGAUCCUGUGCUUCCACGGCCCCCCGGUGUUGGCAAGACCAGCAUUGUCAAGUACAUCGCUAAAGCCCUCAACAGAAAGAUACUGCCAGAAGCUGCACUGGUCAACCCACAAGAAGUCCUGCGAUAAAAUAAGCAAAAAUCUUGCAAUUUCUCCUGAAAAACUCGACAAAGAAAACCGCGCCGCUCAAGACGCCGCGAAAUGAGAAAUUCAAGCCAUGCUUUAACAAUGCACUUUUUUUCUGGAAAUCUUGAUCAGUUUAGUUAAGGAAUCUGGAAUCAUCUCGGUAAGAAAGUUGUCUUGGUAAUUUUAUUUAUUAAUUUAUCUCAAGUUAUUAUAUA
rnacentral:lncRNA from 1 species